UACGGGGGGGGCAAGCGUUGUUCGGAAUUACUGGGCGUAAAGGGCUCGUAGGCGGCCAACUAAGUCGGACGUGAAAUCCCCAGGCUCAACCUGGGAACUGCGUCCGAUACUGGAUGGCUUGAAUUCGGGCGAGGGAUGCAGAAUUCCAGGUGUAGCGGUGAAAUGCGUAGAUAUCGGGAGGAACACCUGAGGCGAAGGCGGGCUACUGGGCCGAUACUGACGCUGAUGCGCGAAAGCCAGGGGAGCGAACGGG
rnacentral:rRNA from 1 species